AAGUUAAAUAGGGCAGGAAGAUGAGUAAUGUAAAAUAAGUUAUGAUUUGGAACCUCAGUUCCCACAUAUACAGAGGGAGAAGAAUAGAGUUGUAAGGAGAGUUCAACAAGGAAACAUAUCAAAGUAUCUGGCAUGCUGUUGGUGCUGGAAAAGUCCAUUUCUUUGUCAAGAUGGAGGAAAGAUUGUGAAGGGUCAUCUACCUCCAAUUUAGAGAGACGUACAAUCAGAGGUUAUGAAGGCAACCCGAGUCAGAGAAAAGCAAGCAACCUAGAAAAAUGAGUAAAGGAUCUGAUCAAGAACUGAAAUACAAUGACCA